UUCAUGGAGGAGACACUGCUCUUCUUGUGGCCUCUGCAUCCUCAAAGAUGUCAUGGCUAAAUCCACGUGGUAUGACUGCCAGCCAUGGUCCCCUGUUAACAGUAGCAAACUCAUUCUCAUCUCCGCAAGUGUCCUUAAACAAGAACUGUGAGGCUGCAUGGGUGGGCUUAACCUGCUCCAGAAAGGGACAGUCACUCCAACCAAGGACAGACUUUGCUCAUUUGGCUCCAGAUGCUCCAUCCUGCUGCACAAGUGCCCCUUUGCCUGAAUGUGCAUUUGCUGUUUCUGUGACGAGGCAAGGACUCUGAAGCUGUGGUCCCCAGGAUGGGGAAAGCAGUUGAGAUUUCUAGCCGAGGAUGAGACCUAUAUUUCCAACAGACCUUGCGAUGGAAGUCCUCGAUGGUGGGAGUGUACUGAUCCUCGAAGCGGCCGUUGAGGAAGCGUGAGACGAUGGAGCUUUUCCCCACCCGGGACGCUCCCAGCACCACCAUGCGGUACGAGUUC